GACGAACGCUGGCGGCGUGCUUAACACAUGCAAGUCGAACGGAAAGGCCCUGCUUGCCGGGUGCUCGAGUGGCGAACGGGUGAGUAACACGUGGGUGAUCUGCCCCUUACUUUGGGAUAAGCCUGGUAAACUGGGUCUAAUACUGGAUAGGACCAUGCUGUAGGUGGUGUGGUGGAAAGAUUAGUUUCGGUAAGGGAUGAGCUCGCGGCCUAUCAGCUUGUUGGUGGGGUAAUGGCCUACCAAGGCGUCGACGGGUAGCCGGCCUGAGAGGGUGGACGGCCACAUUGGGACUGAGAUACGGCCCAGACGCCUACGGGAGGCAGCAGUGGGGAAUAGUGCACAAUGGGCGCAAGCCUGAUGCAGCGACGCCGCGUGGGGGAUGACGGCCUUCGGGUUGUAAACUCCUUUCAGCCAUGACGAAGCCCUUGUGGUGACGGUAGUGGUAGAAGAAGCACCGGCUAACUACGUG
rnacentral:rRNA from 1 species